rnacentral:rRNA from 1 species
GACGAACGCUGGCGGCGUGCUUAACACAUGCAAGUCGAACGGAAAGGCCCUGCUUGCAGGGUACUCGAGUGGCGAACGGGUGAGUAACACGUGGGUGAUCUGCCCUGCACUUCGGGAUAAGCCUGGGAAACUGGGUCUAAUACCGGAUAGGAGCCAUUUUUAGUGUGAUGGUUGGGAAGUUUUUUCGGUGUAGGAUGAGCUCGCGGCCUAUCAGCUUGUUGGUGGGGUAAUGGCCUACCAAGGCGGCGACGGGUAGCCGGCCUGAGAGGGUGGACGGCCACAUUGGGACUGAGAUACGGCCCAGACUCCUACGGGAGGCAGCAGUGGGGAAUAUUGCACAAUGGGCGCAAGCCUGAUGCAGCGACGCCGCGUGGGGGAUGACGGCCUUCGGGUUGUAAACUCCUUUCGCUAGGGACGAAGCUUUUUGUGACGGUACCUAGAUAAGAAGCACCGGCUAACUACGUG